rnacentral:rRNA from 1 species
UACGUAGGGGGCUAGCGUUGUCCGGAAUCAUUGGGCGUAAAGAGCGUGUAGGCGGUCCGGUAAGUCCGCUGUGAAAGUCGGGGGCUCAACCCUCGAAUGCCGGUGGAUACUGUCGGGCUAGAGUGCGGAAGAGGCGAGUGGAAUUCCUGGUGUAGCGGUGAAAUGCGCAGAUAUCAGGAGGAACACCGGUGGCGAAGGCGGGUCUCUGGGCCGACAUUGACGCUGAGGAGCGAAAGCGUGGGGAGCGAACAGG